GAAGGAUGUUCAAGUUGGAGGCGCUGUAUAGGAUAUCAUCUUUUAGCAUUAUCCGUUGUAUUGUGUAUAUACUUGUUAAUGGUAAGGUUAAAACAUUAUGAUGAAUUUACAUCGAUACAUAGUAAAAACUUUAUUGAAACGUUAUUGGCGAACAACCAUGAAUUGGACAUUAAUUCGGAUGAAAAGUAGCGAAGGACAUCCAACUGCUGGAAUAAUCGUAAUUGGAGAUGAAAUUUUAAAAGCGCAAGUAAAAGAUACCAAUUAUUUCUAUGCAUGUAAGCUGCUUUAUAAAUAUGGAGUCAAAGUUCAAAAAAUUGCAAUCGUACGAGAUAAUCUUCAAGAUAUCGCGAAAGAAAUAAAAUACUUUUCUAAAAUGUUCAACUAUGUUUUUACAUCAGGUGGUAUAGGACCAACUCACGAUGAUCUUACAUAUGAAGCUAUAGCAUUGGCUUUUAACGAUACGUUGCAUUAUCAUCCAACGUUGGUGGAUAUUAUAAAAAAUUAUUUCGACUUGCAAGACUUGUUUGGAACAUUUCCUUUGCCUGCUUAUAAAAUGGCAUAUAUACCAACAAAAGCUGUACUUAAAUUUGGAAAAGACGAAGUUACAGGUCGAAUGCUCACUUAUCCGUACGUGAUAAUAGAAAAUGUUUAUAUAUUUCCUGGAUCACCUAUAUUUUUUGAGAAAUCUUUUCAAACAUUGUGCAAGGAAUUUUUUACUUAUUGUAAAAAAUUCGCGACAACCGAAAUUUAUAUAAAUGCGAAAGAAGAAUCGUUUGCAGAUAUUUUACGCAAAGUUGCAUUAGAAUUUUCAAAUGUUACCUUUGGCUCGUAUCCGGAACGUAACAGGUAUUACAAAGUGCGUAUAAUUAUUGAAAGUGAGAAUGAAAACGACCUUCAAAAGGCAAAAAAAAUAUUUUGCGAUCGUAUACCGUCAAAUAUUUUGAUAGAUUAUGAUCGGACACCGCACAUGGAUUGCUUAUCGAAGUACGAAAUGUUGAUUCAAAAGUCCCAACAUCGAUCAAUUUAUGAAUAUUCCUUCAAGAAAUUCGUAAAUUAUUAUGAGAAACCUGAAGAAAUUUGGAUAUAUUUGGACGGUAGCGAAGAAUCGAUCAUCAUGAUACACCUUGCUCGUGUCGUUAGCAACAAAUUGCGACAUUGUUCGAAGAUGAAGCUGCGUGCAAUUUGUUUUAAAUCCGAUAUUUUAAAAUCGGAAAUUAAUGAAUUUUUUAAUGAAAUUAAGAAUAUGUACAAUGUCGAAUUAUGUAAAUUGGAAUACGAGGAAAAUGAUGCUGUUCGUGCAAUAAAAAAUUUUGCCUUAUCGAAGCCGGAAUUACGAAAAUUAUUGGUUGGAAAACGGUUGAAGAAUAACGAAAAGGAAAUUUAUAAUGAUCUCGAACGAUUGAAUGACAGUUCCACGCAGUUUGUACAUUUUCCUCUUAUCGAUUGGACAAACAAAGAUGUUGAAAAUUUCUUUAAUUCUCUCUUUUUACCUUACUAUACGAUAAAAAGUUAAACGAUAAGGUAAAUAAUAGAUAUGAAGUAAAAAAAGAAACAAGAAAAUAAUGGAAGAAAAAUAGAUGAGAAUGUGCCUGUUCUGAAAUUGAGAGACGAAUCAAGAAGAUCGAUGGAGAAGAAAAUGAAUUUUUACCAAAAGAAUAUACCCUAUAAUUAUACAGUUUGGUAUUAAAUGGUAUUUAAUUUUUAGUUAUUUAUGAUAUUUAAUUUUUAGUAAUAUAUCAGUACAUAUAAUUUUUUUUCGAGUAAUGAUCGAUCAUUAGCUUAAGGCAUUGUACAAUACUAAUAAAAUAUAUACUAUA